CCAUUUUACUUUCCUACCGGCAAUGUGGGAGAGUUUCUGUUUCUCCAUAUUGCAGAAAUGAGCUGACAACAGACAGCUUAACAGGAAAAGAAAAACAUAGAACAGGCAUAAACAUGGGAACCAGCUGAAAAAUGAGACUGCUAGAAGGGCUGGAUGGUUGAUGCUUAAAGAGCAGCCUCUUCUGAGGGGAGAGGGAGAUAGAUGGAGAUGUAGGCCAUUUAGAGGGGCAGCAAAUGAUUUUUAGGGGAAAUGAAAGAGCCCAAGGAACAAAACAAUUGGCCUGAGACAAAGUUCCUCUGAGGUCAUAGGGACGAGGUGACAAACUGCCGGAAGGUGAAGGGCAGAACUGCACUGCGUCUCAUGAUGCAGAGAAAGCCCCAGAGAAUCUCUUAGAACUGCCCUCCAAGAGAAUCAAUGAAAAGUGUGUCUGGGCAGGGUAAUUUUGAAUGAGAUCAUUCAAAGU
rnacentral:lncRNA from 1 species